UUCCCACAUCGGGAAUCGAACCCAGAUUUCUGGGUGAAAGCCACUUACCCUAGCCACUAAACCAUGUGGGA